GGGUCAGUAGGUUGGUCGUGCCACCGGUACGUACUGGUCUCACUGAUUCCUCCUUCCUGAAGAACCGUAAUGCCAUUAAUUCGGUGUUGCGGGGAAACAGGACUGUUACUUUGAAAAAUUAGAGUGUUUAAAGCAAGCUAACGCUUGAAUACAUUAGCAUGGAAUAAUGAAAUAGGACGAUCGAUCCUAUUUUGUUGGUUUCUAGGAUUGACGUA
rnacentral:rRNA from 1 species